CAUAUCACAUUGAAACACCGGUCUUCAUACGAUCACCGAAGUUAAGCAACGUCGUGCCUGGUCAGUACCUAGAUUGGUGACCGCUUUGGAAUAUCAAGUGUU